AAGCCGCUCGUGUCCCUUUCCACCCUGAAAAUUUUGUUUUUUUGUUCUUUGCAAUAAGUCAUGCUGCUGCUCCCUAGGUUCACCCUGCCUUUGUGAGCUGUAACACUCACCGUGAAAGUCUGCAGCUUGACUCUUGAGCCAGUAAGACCAGGAGCCCACCAGAAGGAGGAAACUCCGAACACAUCUGAAUAUCAGAAGGAACAGAACACAUCUGAAUAUCAGAAGGAACAAACUCCGGACACGCUACCUUUAAAAACUGUAAUACUCACCGCGAGGGUCUGCGGUUUCAUUCAUGAAGUCAGUGAGACAAAGAACUCACCAAUUCCGGACACAGUGGGAGCAAAGGCAUGGCAGGAGGAGAGAACUGCGUGUGUGAGGAAUAAAAACAACAUGUUGCAAUUGAGGAAGGCGUGAAUUUAUGGGGAGAAUACAGAGAUGAAGACUUAAAACGAAUGGAAGGCCAAGGAGAUGAAAUGGAAGACUUUGGACAGAACUUCUGGGAAAGCUCUUUAAAGCAGUCUACUAGACUGGCAAGCAGACAUUCAUUCUCCUCUUCUGACUUAGACAUGGUAUUUUUAGCUCCAGCAGCCGUCCUGUGAAGAUGGGAGCACACGCUAAGGGCAGCAGAAAAGAAAGCCAGAAGGAGGUUGGAUAUUGAUAACCACCGUGGUGCCAUCUUACCAGCCCUCGGCCACCUACCCCAGCCUUCCGGUUAUGAGAAAGAAAAACAAAAUUAGCUUAAGCUACUAUUAUGUAGAGGUCUCAAUUCCUAAGAGUUUAAUGCAUUUCCUUAAACACAUAUGCAUGUUGCAGAAUGCCCAGCUGGAAAUUAAACUUUUUAAAAAUUUAUUAAUUUAUUUAGAGAAGGGGAAUCUCACUAUGUUGCCCAGGCUGGCCUCAAACUCCUGGGCUCAAGUGAACCUCCUGCCUCAGCCUCCCGAGUAACUGGGACUACAGGCAUGUACCACCAUGCACGGCUGAAAUUAAACUUUGUGGGUGUUUUUCAGGUCUGGAAAAGGGGUACCAGAAAGUCAACUUGGCUUUUUCACCUGCCUAGUCCAAUCUCUUGAGCCAUCAAAAUAUCUCUCUCCAUCUUCAGUGCUGCUUAAGGUUUCUGGAGACUUACCUGGGUAGCCAAGGCUGGGAGAGUGAGGAAUAGCUCUAUUAUCUGGUAAGGAGAUUUGUAAUCAGCCCCUUCAUGUUUUCAGAAAUCCAGACAGAGCCCUAGAGAGAGACUGGGGAAGGGAAUGCAGUUGGGGCUCUAGAUUCAUGUAUUUGUAGGGAGAUUUCUAAAUAUUGUGUGUCUACUGUAUGCCAGGCAGUGUCUAGGCACUGGGGUGCAGCAAUGAAUGAAAGAUAAGAUCCCUGCCCUCAUGGAGUUUGCACUCUACUGGGGCCUGUGGAAGGAAGCUGAGCUGUGUUACAGAAUCACCCCAGUUGAGGUGACUGUGCAGGUGAAUAUGGAGACAAAAUCUACUCUCUGACCUCAGCCAGUGAGGGUGCUACAGCCUGCCAUAGAGCCCUGCACUCUUUCAGAGAGGGUUUCUCUCCCAGGCCAGCUGUCACUCUAAUCUGCCCUCCCCACUGUGAUCCCAGCUGGACACAUGGCUCACUGGUUUUUCUGUUACUUUGUAAGUGCAGAUAAGAACUCUAUUCCUCACACUUUGGGGACAGAACAGAGUAAGCUGGGGUACACUGAGCUUGGAGAAGGGGAAGUACGGGUCUGGCUAAAUAUUUAUAAAAUCUUGAUUUUUUUUCCUAAGGACAGAAGUCAAAUAGAAUAUAUACACUGAUUACAACCACUUAUUCAUUCAUUCAUUUUAUAAUGAAUAUAGAAUAUGACCAGCAAUGUGCUGGGCACUUGAUCUUAUUCACUUCCACAGAAACCCUGGGAGCAAAGUACUGUUAUCUUCAUUUUACAAACAAGGAGAUCAAUGCUUAGAGAAGUGAAUUAUCUUGAUUGGGUGCUGUAAGAAAUCAAAAUAGAUCUAUCUGAGUCUAAGGCUGCAUUCUUUCUGCUUCAUUAUUCUGCCUCCCCCAUGCCAGUCUGCAACUAAAGACACCGUGUCCUAGAGAAUGUUGCCAGUUUUUUUUUUUUGUUUUUUUUUUGAGACAGAGUCUGUCUCUGUCACCCAAGCUGGAGUACAGUGGCGUGAUCUCGGCUCACUGCAACCUCCGCCUCCCGGGUUCAAGCGAUUCUCCUGCCUCAGCCUCCCAAGUAGCUGGGAUUACAGGCGCUCACCACCACACCUGUGCCAGUCUUUAUCAAGCAAACCUUGCAAAUCCAAAGCAUAGCCACAGCAGUCACUCAGCAGUUGCUGAAAGCUGAAGUAGCCUGUCCAGCUUGGAGGAAGGCACAGGAGCCAUUAUGAAUCUAGGAAUUUAGUACUUUUCAGUAGAUCCUUCUGGAGAGUAUAUCCAGCCAUAAGAAAUACUUGACAGUGCAAUAAGAAUAUUUGCCUUUGCUAUUUUUGUCAUUUACAUAACCUAUUCUUGCUGCGGAGAGGGCAUAAUGCCAAUUACUGCUUCUCUAAAGAGAGAAAAACGUUUUCUUUUGCCAUUUUCACCUGCUCAGUCUUUGACUAAGACUGUGCGGUCUUCAGCAAUAUCUGCCAGUUAAUGGAAAUGCACAGUCUAGGGGAAAUUGGAGAAGAAAAGGAGUUGCCAGAAAUUUUUUCCAGACCACUGGAUCUUCCUAGAACUAAUUAGCUUGAGGCAUGUGAGGAAUAGAGAUUGUGUACGUCUUAUGGUCAGUAGGGGUAUAGGCUAGGCACCAACUGUUGCCCUUCCCAGGAUGAACGCACUUCCUCCCCCAGAGAGAAUCAGCCUCUCCCUCUGCCCGCACCACACUGGGAACAUAUCUCCACAUUCACACUUACCACACUUGAGUUUACGUCUGCCGCCUCAGGAUCAGGAAUGCUGUCUUUUCAUCCGUCUCUAUAUCAAAACUCUUUCAGUGUUGGUGGCAAAAGACAAAAACUAAUUCAAACUGGCUUCAGCCAAGAAGAUGGGGUGGGAGGAGAAAAUCUAUUGGCCCAAGUAAUUGAAAAGUUCGGGGCUAGGGCCAGAUUGAUAGCAGCUCUAAUAAUAUCUUCAGAAUUCCAUUUUUCUCUGUCUUAGCUCUGCCUCCCGCAGUGUGGGUUUAUUUUAGGUACUAUGUAGUGGCUCCUGGCCAUUCCAGGCUCACGUCACCAUUUCGGUAAGUAACUUCAGGAGGAAAAUAUCUCCCUGGUACGUCCCACUUAGGUCCUUGGUUCAUUGCUAUUGGAGGAACCUGAGUGACUCAAUCACUACAUGAAUCGCUAGCAAGAGGAAUUCAGUGCCGUGAUUGGCCAGCCCUCAGUCACGUGCUCCAGCCUGGAGCUGGGGGUGGAGCCUGUCUAAGCCAAGCCGACUAAGCAGGGGUGGGUGGGAGUGGCUCCCUAAAAGAAACUCAAGGGCUGCUGCCAGAAGAAAAGGUGGAGUGGAUGAUAAGUGACCAAUAUGACACAUGUUCCUGCAGCGACCCCCCUGCCAAACGGCAUGGCACACAAUAGGAACCCAGAAGUCUUUAUUCAGUUUAUUGUUGAAGAAGGAAGUGCUGCCAGGUGCAGACUUGGGCUUAAAGCGUUCUCUGAUUCAGGCAUUGCUGUAUAGAUGGUGUUGGUAAGAGAUGCCCAUCACGGCUUUCUCUGCUCUCUUACUACUCUUCUCUGUGUUUCUGACUUAGCCUGGUAAGUUGCACUUGAUCCUGGGUACCUUCCUCUGUUUCACAGCAUGCCAUUUAUUUUCCAAUCAUGACUAGUCUAUCCUCUGUCAACUGAGAAAGAGCUCUCUAGAAGGCAGGGCCCAAGUUUCCUCCCUCCUUGGUCUACAGAGCUCAACUGGAACUGAGCUGCCUUGAGGAAACAUGAGUUGGGCCAGAUGCAUUGUUACACCAGGAUGAAGGACAAGAAGCAAAGGAAUGCCAGAACUGAAAUUCUAUCCUACAGAGCUCCCAUUCCAAACAGCCCAUGACCUCUUUUCCACAAUUCAUCUGGAUGAUGUCCUGAGAAUGAAUCCAGUGCCCUUUCAAGAUGGCAGCAGUGUAUAAAUAGUUACAGUGUUGCUGGUAAAUUUCCGUCUCACAGUAUUUUGCCAAUUGACUUAGGGAAUAUUGUGCCUUGAGGCAGUUAAGUCCACAGCUAAACCCUGUAUAGCAUCUAUGAGAAGAUACACCCAUUUCCAGGCUGCUGUGAUUUUGGAGGCAGUCUUUGGCAACUCCCAAAAGAACUUGGGGUUGAUGGAACCUUCCUAUAUUAUUGAACUCCUAUGCUAAAUUAGCAUGGCAAGAUACUAGCAAUCCUCUUUGUUUUCCUACACUAAUGAAUUAAUUUUUCCUAUCCUUUUAAAAAAUCAGUGCCCUCAUUUAAAAAUUUACGUUGUAUGUAACAAUGAUUGGCUUUAUCAUAAAAUGUGUGCUCCACAAGAUAAAAUAGCCAAUUUCCUAUUUUCACAAUCCAUAUGCUUUUAAAUAAACCUGAAAUUUAGGACUCAAUUUAGAUACAUAAUCCAGUUCAAGCUUCA
rnacentral:lncRNA from 1 species